UACGUAGGGGGCAAGCGUUGUCCGGAUUUAUUGGGCGUAAAGAGCGUGUAGGCGGCUAGAUAGGUCCGUUGUGAAAACUCGAGGCUCAACCUCGAGACGCCGGUGGAAACCAUCUAGCUAGAGUCCGGAAGAGGAGAGUGGAAUUCCUGGUGUGAGCGGUGAAAUGACGCAGAGUAUCAGGAAGAACACCCGUGGCGAAGGCGGCUCUCUGGUACGUGACUGACGCUGAGACGCGAAAGCGUGGGGAGCGAACAGG
rnacentral:rRNA from 1 species